rnacentral:rRNA from 1 species
AACGAACGCUGGCGGCAUGCCUAACACAUGCAAGUCGAACGAGACCUUCGGGUCUAGUGGCGCACGGGUGCGUAACGCGUGGGAACCUGCCCUUAGGUUCGGAAUAACUCCCCGAAAGGGGUGCUAAUACCGGAUAAUGUCUUCGGACCAAAGAUUUAUCGCCUUUGGAUGGGCCCGCGUUGGAUUAGCUAGUUGGUAGGGUAAAAGCCUACCAAGGCGACGAUCCAUAGCUGGUCUGAGAGGAUGAUCAGCCACACUGGGACUGAGACACGGCCCAGACUCCUACGGGAGGCAGCAGUGGGGAAUAUUGGACGAUGGGCGAAAGCCUGAUCCAGCAAUGCCGCGUGAGUUAUGAAGGCCUUAGGGUUGUAAAGCUCUUUUACCCGGGAUGAUAAUGACAGUACCGGGAGAAUAAGCUCCGGCUAACUCCGUG